ensembl:lncRNA
CUCCUAAGGAGGAAGGGCCUCUAUCUGGAGAUUGCUUCUUUGGGAGUUAUUCUGUGAGCCCAGGAAAUGGGAUUCAUCCACACUUCAACCAAUCUGUUCUGCCUUCUGCUGAUCCCUGCAUUUUGCUCCAAUGCUCUAAAUGAAAGCCUUUCCCACAGUGACCAAAAUGACCACUUUGUAUACCACAUGAGUGAUGCUUUUAAUUUCUCUCUCUGCUACUUCAGACACGUAUUAGAAAAUAAAUGGUUAUAACCGUACACUUCUGGAAACAUAAAUAAGUGUGCCACUUCCACUGAGCACAUUCACAGCUUGUACCAGAGAUGGAAAGACUCAUGUUGCCACAGUAGAAACAGAGGAAACUUAUGGAGUGUUUUUUUAUCACCAGAAGGCAGAAAACUGCAACUACAUAACAGCUCUGAUUUUAAAAUGCACAUCAUUUUAUUGUUACACUGGCCCCCUAUGCAUUGCUGGUUUGUCUAUCAAGUAAGGAUUUUGUUGAGCAGACGCACAUAUAAAUUGUGUUUUUCCAGGAUUUCACAUUGUCAUCUCCUGGAUCUCAAUUUGUGAGAAGUUACACAUCUCUGCCGUAAGAAAUGUCUUCACAUACAGGAAGUGACAGACAACAUCUGCAGACCAUGCCAACUCUGUGAUUGUUGAAACAUAAACUACAUUGCUGCUGAAAUUCUCCUAUGUCAAUAUAAGAAUGUAUACAAUUCUUAUACUCCAGCACCUGUUUAGUGGAAGCUUGAAGACAAACCUACUCAUGUCCACCCAUGCACACAGACUCCACUCCUUCCACCUGCCCACCUACCUAUGUACCCUGUAAAGCUGGCAGUAGAAGAUAUAAGAAUGUCAAAACCAAGGUAUGAAACUGCUGAGACAGACAAAUGGAUGAGCACCCAUUACUGUGCCAGUGCCAGAUGAUGAGCAAACUGCAGAUAUUCAACUAAGCAUAUGUAUGAUAUAAUGGAACAUGUGCGUUUUGAAUAACUAGAUGAGGCAUGUACUUCAUGGGCAAUGAAUUAUUCUGCAAACGUAAUGUUUCCUUCUUCACUGACUAUUUGUGAAUUUCAUUGAUAAACUUUCCAUAUAAAACUAAUCCUUUCUCAUUUAGCUUAGUCCUAUUGAUUUGCAUGUUUUUCCUAAUGAGAUCACCUAUUUGUCAAGGAAUAGCUAUUCAAAUGUCGUUUUGUGAAUGCUCAUCCAACAAAUGUAGAAAACUGACAUUUCAGAACAUGAAUUUUAAUCCAACCUGUAUUAGCUGGCAUAAUAUGCUGAUCCAUUUUCUCUAUGAUAGGAAAACCAAAGAGAAUGUGUUAAAGUGACAUGCAAUUCAAAUCUAAACUUUCAGCUACUUAAGUAAUGAAAUAGAAGGAAUUGUGGGAUAGCAAGGUAACAAUCAUAACGCUUAUAUUUUUAGUUCAUUUGCUUUUGUUCUGCAAAGAGCAAAUGCAACCCAGCUUGGAGAUGUGAACAACACUGAUAAAUCUUUCCUCAGACUAUGAAUUCUGUUGGGGUCUGUUACUCAUUUUAAAUGUAUUGUACAGACUUCUCUAACUGCUGGACUUUGUGUUGUAUUUACUUACUACUUUUGUACAUAGUACAAGGAUACAACUGGAUAGUACAGGAUAAAACUACAAUUCUCAUGGAACUGCAUAAAAUUUAGUCAGAAGGAAAAAAAAAAGGAAAAAAAAGGUCAAGUUUAAAAAAAUGCUGAAGUUUUUUAAAAAAAGCAAAAUAAAUAAAUAAAUAAGUUUUUUAAAAAAUGCCCAGAGAUGUGCUGACAUCUUACGUGUAGAAACACCAGAACACCUUAGGUGUCAGGAAUUAUCAUGGUGUUUGUGCCUGCUGCUAGGUUCAGCUUGCAUACAUUGCCAGUCAUCUUGUGCACCCUAGUAAGAGAAUUCUGCUGGCAGUGUAGCUGUGUCUCAGUACGAGGCUUAGGAAGAAAUGAAACAUCCUUUUUGACUCUCAUACAGGAAUGCAAUCAGUCUUCAUCCUAAGGGAUAUCUAGCUUGUUACCCAUGUUCCCUUUUUUUUCUGCCAAUAGAAAACAGAGUUAUUCCCUUUGCUAAAGCAUGAUUCACAUGUGCAGAGUGCAAACAAUUUCCUUGGUAUGGCAGUGUGCUUGAUGGAGGGAUAAAACCAUCAAGAACCCUAUAUAUUUCUCUUCAAACAUGCCACUUCCACUUUGUUUUGCAAAACAGACACUUCCCAUUCAAACUCCGAGUUUUAUGUGUUCCAGGGAAAAAUUUAACCAUUAGUUCCCCAAUAAAUCUAAUUAACAUCAGUUAGGUUUGAUGCAGUGAGAUAGAGGUUGCCUUCUUAUGUACUACUCAGCAGUACUGCCAAAUAUCUUCCAUUACUCCAGAAUUCCCCAAAAUUAGUCAGCAUCUAACAGAAGAUAUGCAUAAUAUGGAAAGAAAUAAAAAAAUUUUGCUUUUAUCUCAGGAAAUGAAAGGAUCCUGUAGUAAGCUAGAAAAUCAUAAUUGAUGUUAAAGGUCAAAUGUGGUGGGUAAAAGCUUGAAAGGAGUAACAACCAUUAAAACAUCUGAAUGCUACUGUUGAAAUUAUGCUAAUUAUGAUGCUUUAUAUUCUUAAAGUUAGACAUUACAGUAAUUUUCCCAAAGAUGUUUCAUAAUAUAUUCUUCCAGUAUAAAUAUGAUAUGAGAGACAAAAGUGCUAGAGGAAGAAGAAAGUCUUAAAUGUAGCAAAUUAAAUAAUAAAGGUGUUCUAUUGACCAGUCCAAUCAUUUAGAAUUAUUAAAAAAAGAGAAUAUUCACACCAGCAGACUUUGGGCAUCUAAUGUGUCUGUUUCCUUUGAUUCCAUUUAGAAUUAGAGAAGAGUGAGAGGAUCCUUCAAAAUCAACUCAGGGUAAUACAUUUUUAUUUAGGUUUGGUUAAAAAUGCUGUGGCCAAGCAAUGCAGUGUGUAUUCUCACUUUCUGUUGAGAUGCAUUCAAAGCAAUGUAUAAAUAAGAUGGCUAUCUGAGAUUUAUCAGUAUGAAUACUACCUCUAAGAUUAGAGGAGCCAGUGGAAAGAAGGCCAUGUAUUGGCCUGGAGCUGGGGGCUGUAUGUUCACAUCUCCCCUUCAGCACAGAGCAGGAGGCCAGACUACUACAGUUCACUAUUUAUGAGAUGGAAAUAGUAGAGCCACCUCUCCUUGAAUUUCAGGGAGAUCCUCUCACACAGAUGCUACGUGGCCAGUCAUGACCAUCACUGAGACAGGUCAGAGAGGCUGUUCAUACACAACUGCAUGAGCUGGGAACGUACCAAAAUAUCUGCCUGCAGAUCCUUUCAAAGCUGCUUACAGAUGCUUCCAACAAAUCAUUGGAGACCUUUUGUUCAGUAUAAUGCAUUUAGGGGAGGGUGGAGAACUGAGAGCACAUUUUUUGUACUCUGAAAAGGAAACAGCAUGAACCUUUUGCUCACAUACUUGAUUGUGGAAAGUCAUCUACAUUUGAAACAAAAUCUUCUACCCUAGGUCCCUGUGAGCAGUAAAAAUCUGUCAUCUGGAAGUUUCUUCCCUGGUUGGCAGAACUGAAAUUCAAAGUAGAAGUCUUUCCUAAGGACCAAGAGGUCAAACCCUGACUAACCUUGAAAGUGCACGUUCAAGUGUGUAUGAAUCACUCAAUUUCUACAAAAGCAAAGUAAAUAAUUUCCAAAACUGCAUUUCUCACUGCAGAAAAGAAAAAGAAAAAAAAAAAAGGGAAAAAAAAAAAAAAAGGAGCACUGAAUGUUCUGAAUGUUUUACCUUGCUGAAAUGACUUACUGUACAAAGUGAAAACUUUAUUUCUAUCUGUGAAGUGCAGUCCAUUCCUAGGAAAUGUUUCAUGCACCAUAUUCAUUUGGAAAAUUAAAACCUCAUUAGGGUUAACAACCUCAAAAUGCAAACAGUAAUUACACCAGUUUUGUGAACUUCCUGUGGUAGCAAUAAUAGUAAAUGGCAGGCAAAAGAAAAGAAGAAAUGAAAAAUCCAAGAGAGUCUACCUCAUGAUGGAGUGAGAUCUACAAAAGGGAGAAUGGUAAAACUACAGUGAAGCAAUAAAUGUGACAGGAAAGUAGUCAGACUAAAAGUGUGAUUUUUUUUUUAAAUAUUAUUUUAAAUCUAAAUAGUAGUAGCUGUUACAAAUGGUAGAGUACUGUAAACUUGCCAGCAGUGUAUGCAUAGCGCCUGUCAUUGUUGUCAAAAUUGUAUAUAUGUGUCAGAGUAUGUAAGCAUUCCAAAAAUGCAGCUUGCUAAAUUUAUCAAAUCUGUAAACUUGAAUGUCAAUGAAGAGAAAUCUGGGUUUAGAAGAGAAACUGUAAAUACUGCAUACUUUAAAGCAAAUCAGAAGAUUCUUGUCACUAAUAUGACUGCUGAUUUUUCACACCAAUUGGCACAUACCCUGGAUUAUUUAAUUUUUGAAACCAUUUUUCUUCCUCUGUCAAAUCGCUGAAGGUCCAGAAUCUAGUUGAACCUUCAAUCUGUAUUUGUGUCUCAACAGCUCAAACCAGUGGAACAAAAACAUCUGUGAGAUUUUAGGUGCUAGAGCAGCACCUGAUAAAGAUAUGUAUUCCCAUCAUGAAAGUUAAACUGAAAAGAGCAGCUAGGGACUUUCUUAUUGAGCCAUGCUCAGAUCAGUUAGGCCAGCAAACCACCUGACUGCAGUGAAGUAUGAAAUAUUAAAGGCAUUUUCUUGAUAAACACAAAGACAGAGUUCAAAAAUUGAAUGUGUAGCCUGAAGACACAAAGCAAAGGUGAAAGCAAAAAGUAGAAAACUGAGCACUCACUAUGAUCAUAAAGAGUGAUACAGACUUUAACUUCGUGUGUGCAUUCAGGUGAGUUCUUCAAUUAUUUGGUAAUAACAAUCACUUCUUUAAUUUGUAUUAUCUCAUCACUCGGAAUCCUACUUGCAAAGACUGGUAUUUAUUUGGUUCUGAAUAUAGCCCAAGUAAUGCCAUAUUAGUGAUGCAUAAGAAUGUUUUGCUUCAGGGGGCAGGACAUAUACUUUGUUUUCUCUUUCUUUCUUGCUAACACUUCUUUUGAAAAAGAAAAAUGCUAAAAAUUACGUCACAACCUUCAGUAUUGUUGGCAGAAUACUGUUAAUAAGUUAUGUGGGACAACAUUAAACAAAGAUUUC